AAUUGAUUUUACUCUCUAGUACUGGAUUCUAAAUAGGUUUACUCUCUCAACCCAUCAACGCUCUGAGAAAAAUAUAUGAAAGUUUCUUACAACAGAGGACAUAACAGUGAAUACUAUGGCUCAGAAUGGCAACUGAGGCAGAGUUCAACUACUUAAAUUGAGGACACAGCUGAGAGUCAAGGGAAAUCAAGAACAGAGUUCCCAACAGAGGCAGAACGCCAGGCAGUUCACUAUGGGUAUAUGUGGGAGAAGUUCAAGCCUGCCUGGGCCAGGUGUGCCACACUCCUGUCUUCUAAGCAAACUUGAAGACCUCUCUGAGGCUUAGCUAACUCGCCUAAGUGCGUAGAGGCUGGGUCUAACAGGCUAUACCUCUGCCCCUAGUCUGUGACUCCUUCACCUUGCCCAAGAAAAAUCACCCCCCCCAUAUGUCUAGCCAAUAAAAUAUCACCCAAUGUUCUCCACUACUGCAUAAUGUAUAAGAAAGUGCCGUGUAAUUAAAUACUCCUCCCAUGCUCCUCCUCCAAGGUUGUCCACAUGUAAGCUAUAUAA
rnacentral:lncRNA from 1 species